GAUGAACGCUGGCGGCGUGCCUAAUACAUGCAAGUCGAGCGAAGCGGGGCCGGGUGAGUAACACGUGGAUAACCUCAUAUAAGAAUAGGAUACAUUCGGGAAACCGGAGCUAAACCGGAUAAUUAUAGAUGGAUCCGCGCUGCAUUAGCUAGUUGGUAAGGUAACGGCUUACCAAGGCAACGAAGCAUAGCCGACCUUGGAGCGUGAUCGGCCACACUGGAACUGAGACACGGGCCAGACUCCUACGGGAGGCAGCAGUAGGUAAUCUUCCGCAAUGGGCGAAAGCCUGACGGAGCAACGCCGCGUGAGUGAUGAAGGUCUUCGGAUCGUAAAACUCUGUUAUUAGGGAAGCGGUACCUAAUCAGAAAGCCACGGCUAACUACGUGCCAGCAGCCGCGGUAAUUC
rnacentral:rRNA from 1 species